CCUUCGGGUUGUAAAGCACUUUUAGAGGGAAAGAAAUCUUCAAUGUUAAUACCAUUGAGGCUUGACGUUACCCUAAGAAAAAGCACCGGCUAACUCUGUGC
rnacentral:rRNA from 1 species